GACAGAGGUGCCAAGCGUUAGGCGGAAUCACUGGGCUUAAAGGGCGCGUAGGCGGUCAGCACAAGUCAGUUGUGAAAUCUCCGGGCUUAACUCGGAAAGGUCAACUGAUACUGUGCGACUAGAGUGCAGAAGGGGCAACUGGAAUUCUCGGUGUAGCGGUGAAAUGCGUAGAUAUCGAGAGGAACACCUGCGGCGAAGGCGGGUUGCUGGGCUGACACUGACGCUGAUGCGCGAAAGCCAGGGGAGCGAACGGG
rnacentral:rRNA from 1 species